rnacentral:rRNA from 1 species
UUAACACAUGCAAGUCGAGGGGCAUCAGGAAGGAAGCUUGCUUUCUUUGCUGGCGACCGGCGCACGGGUGAGUAACACGUAUCCAACCUGCCCUUUACUCGGGGAUAGCCUUUCGAAAGAAAGAUUAAUACCCGAUGGCAUAAUGAUUCCGCAUGGUUUCAUUAUUAAAGGAUUCCGGUAAAGGAUGGGGAUGCGUUCCAUUAGGUUGUUGGUGAGGUAACGGCUCACCAAGCCUUCGAUGGAUAGGGGUUCUGAGAGGAAGGUCCCCCACAUUGGAACUGAGACACGGUCCAAACUCCUACGGGAGGCAGCAGUGAGGAAUAUUGGUCAAUGGGCGCUAGCCUGAACCAGCCAAGUAGCGUGAAGGAUGAAGGCUCUAUGGGUCGUAAACUUCUUUUAUAUAAGAAUAAAGUGCAGUAUGUAUACUGUUUUGUAUGUAUUAUAUGAAUAAGGAUCGGCUAACUCCGUGCCAGCAGCCGCGGUAAUACGGAGGAUCCGAGCGUUAUCCGGAUUUAUUGGGUUUAAAGGGAGCGUAGGUGGACUGGUAAGUCAGUUGUGAAAGUUUGCGGCUCAACCGUAAAAUUGCGGUUGAUACUGUCAGUCUUGAGUACAGUAGAGGUGGGCGGAAUUCGUGGUGUAGCGGUGAAAUGCUUAGAUAUCACGAAGAACUCCGAUUGCGAAGGCAGCUCACUGGACUGCAACUGACACUGAUGCUCGAAAGUGUGGGUAUCAAACAGGAUUAGAUACCCUGGUAGUCCACACAGUAAACGAUGAAUACUCGCUGUUUGCGAUAUACAGUAAGCGGCCAAGCGAAAGCAUUAAGUAUUCCACCUGGGGAGUACGCCGGCAACGGUGAAACUCAAAGGAAUUGACGGGGGCCCGCACAAGCGGAGGAACAUGUGGUUUAAUUCGAUGAUACGCGAGGAACCUUACCCGGGCUUAAAUUGCAGUGGAAUGAUGUGGAAACAUGUCAGUGAGCAAUCACCGCUGUGAAGGUGCUGCAUGGUUGUCGUCAGCUCGUGCCGUGAGGUGUCGGCUUAAGUGCCAUAACGAGCGCAACCCUUAUCUUUAGUUACUAACAGGUCAUGCUGAGGACUCUAGAGAGACUGCCGUCGUAAGAUGUGAGGAAGGUGGGGAUGACGUCAAAUCAGCACGGCCCUUACGUCCGGGGCUACACACGUGUUACAAUGGGGGGUACAGAAGGCAGCUAGCGGGUGACCGUAUGCUAAUCCCAAAAUCCUCUCUCAGUUCGGAUCGAAGUCUGCAACCCGACUUCGUGAAGCUGGAUUCGCUAGUAAUCGCGCAUCAGCCACGGCGCGGUGAAUACGUUCCCGGGCCUUGUACACACCGCCCGUCAAGCCAUGGGAGCCGGGGGUACCUGAAGUACGUAACCGCAAGGAUCGUCCUAGGGUAAAACUGGUGACUGGGGCUAAGU